rnacentral:rRNA from 1 species
CACGUAGGGCGCGAGCGUUGUCCGGAUUUAUUGGGCGUAAAGAGCUCGUAGGCGGCUCAGUAAGUCAGGUGUGAAAACUCCAGGCUCAACCUGGAGACGCCACCUGAUACUGCUGUGGCUAGAGUCCGGUAGGGGAGCAUGGAAUUCCUGGUGUAGCGGUGAAAUGCGCAGAUAUCAGGAGGAACACCAGUGGCGAAGGCGGUGCUCUGGGCCGGAACUGACGCUGAGGAGCGAAAGCGUGGGGAGCAAACAGG